rnacentral:lncRNA from 1 species
UGUUCCUCUCCACCGUGGAAUGGUGUGCUGGUGGAUCUGCACAGACCUUGGGUCAUCUCACUUUUGAGGGAGCCCCAGAACAAAAGGCUCUGGCAGUUUAAUGGCCCCUGGGGCUGAGGAGAGGAGAAGGAGGGCAGGGGAUAAGUCCCUCUGUGGGUCCGCUUUCUCCUUCUGUGAAUUAUGGAUCAUAUUUUCCACUUCAUGUGAAAAUAUCAAAGCAGUUAACACACGUGCAGUGAUUUUUACAAGCGUUCGCGGGAAAUCUUCCAUGGGCUUUGGCCAUCAGCAGUAGUCAUCUUAGCAAUGCUAGGGCAUGGUGGCAGACACCAGAUACUCAAGGGGCUUAGGUGGGAGGAAUUCAAGGCUGCAGUGAGGUAUGACAGCAUUGCACUCCAGCCUGGGCAAGAGAGUAAGACCCUGUCUGCGGGGGGGAAAAACCUAUUAAGAAUUUCAAGAUGGCAACAGCAGAGUGUUAAACCAAGUGUGAGUCCCUACUCCAAUGUCACUUCCUUGGCUGAAGGAAAAAUCAGUCCUCAUUGAUUCCAUUCUGUCCACAGAACCAUUCAUCAAUUUAUAUUAUCUUUCCUAGAUAAAAUACUUUAACAAGUCCAAUUACUAAGCUGCUGAAAGGACAUACAUAAAUGUUUGUAAAUAAAUAGAGGUUUGGAAGAUACAAGAUGAUUGUGACAAAUGUCUGUCCCUGAAAGAUGAUAAUCAUUGAAAAGCAUUACAUUUAUUUUGAGGAAACUGGUUUUUUUCUCAACAGAAAAAAACAUAUUUGUAGCAGCUGGAAUAAGAGGUAGGCAUAGUAUGAGAAUAAUACCUAAUUUCAUAGCAAGUCCGUUUUAUUUCUUAUGAUUUGCUGUUCCAUUGUGAUUACAGUUUGUUGACUAGUGGCCCCUUCAACCUUUUUAUGAUUUGUUCUUACAACCAAUCAUUCUUCUCUUUCUUCUACAGUGUUGAUUCCUCUUCCUCAUGAUAGCAUCUCAUUUUGAUCUAGUUAUCUGUUUGAGCUUUGCUCUACUAUUUUCUUAGCAUUUUCUCUUAACAUUUCUUUGUUCUUACAUCAGCUGUUUUGCAUACAUCUUAAAUGUGGUUAGGUAAAUAAAUGCACAGAGACCUGUCAGUUUUUUGCCAACAGCCAGGCACCUGUUCAUGUCAGCAAUUGUCAACUAAUGUACUGUAUUUUUUGUUUUUUGAGACAGGUUCUUGCUUUGUUGCUGGAAUGCAGUGGCGUGAUCAUGGCUCACUGCAGCCUUGACCUCCUGGGCUUAAGCCAUCCUCCUGCCUCAGCCUCCUGAGUAGCUGGGACCACAGAUGCCUGCCUGCCACACACGGGCUAAAUUUUUAUGUUUUGUAGAUACAAGAUCUCAUUAUGUUUCCUAGGUUGGUCCCAAACUCCUGGGCUCAAGUGAUCCUCCCGCUUCAACAUUCCAAAGUGCUGGGAUUACAGGAAUGAGCCACUGCAUCCAGCCCACUGUAAUUUUCACAUACUCACCAAUGCUGGCUCUCAUUGAUCAUAUGAAAUUAUGAAAUCACGUGAAAACAAUGCCUAGUUCAGUCCAAGGGAAGCAGAUACCACUGUUUUAUAGAAAGAGAUAAUAGUAAACCUAUAAUCAUGUCCAAGGAAGUGAUGUACACAGUAUUAGCUAGAUGAGUGUUUUCUGUUACAGGUACCAUUUCUGGAUUUGACGGGUAUAUUAGUCAUGCGAAAUAGUCUUUGCUCCAGAUAUAAAGGAAAGAAUAGAAGGCAACAUGAUGCGGUAGAAAAUAAUGAGCUAUGGAAACAGAUAGGCGUGAAUUUAAAUUUCUGCUUUACUUCUUCCUACUAUUAAGAUUGGACCCACUGAGCUUCAAUAUUUUUACCUGUAAUAUGAAGAUAAUGAAACAAAUGUCACAGAGUAUUACAUACUAGUUUCUAACUUUUUUCUUCCUUCGAAUCAAAAAAGAAACCACAUGUGUUUAAAAUAUGCACCACUCAACAUUCUAAGAUGGAAAUAGCUUAAAGUACCAAAUUUGAGAUUGAUGUAUAUUGGGGGAUGGAGAUUAUUAAAUUUCCUUGUUCAGAUGAAACAUAAUUAACAUAAUCAGUUUGGAACUUUUUUCAUGCCUAAUUCACUUUCUAGUCCAAAAAUAAUGCUGUGCAAAUUAUUGGCACGUUGUUUCAUUUUCAUGCCUAAUUUAAAAAAAAAAAUCUUUUCCUUGUGCUCAAAUGCCUAUUUAGUUCCAUUUGGGCCAUUUUCUUUGAACUAAAUGCAAAUGAGGGAGGUUGCAUGUAUUUCAUAAUCUCCCUUUAAUCAAGAUCACUAUGAAGCAUCAGCCCCCUGGGUGACGGGUGACAUAAAUCAUAUUAACUUAAUUCUGUGUGUUUCAUUAAAGGAUUUAGUAUUUUUAUGAACCAGAAUAUCUGGGUCACUGCCAUAGAAGCUUCAAUCAAGCUGCAGAUCUUAUGGAGUCAAUGAUGUGUUGCUUAUUUGAUGAGAUGAAGAUGAAGUGCCUACUCCCAUCUCAUACUGGCCUCAUUAACACAUGGUUGCUUUAAGAGUUCAUGAGUUUUGGCCAGGUGCGGUGGCUCAUGCCUGUAAUCCCAGCAUUUUGGGAGGCUGAGGCAGGCAGAUCACAAGGUCAGGAGAUCGAGACCAUCCUGGCUAAAAAAUACCCCCCCACCAAAAAAAAAAAAAAUUAGCCAGGCAUGGUGGCAGGCUCCUGUAGUCCCAGCUACUCAGGAGGCUGAGGCAGGAGAAUGGCGUGAACCCGGGAGGUGGAGCUAGCAGUGAGCCGAGAUUGCGCCAGUGCACUCCAGCCUGGGCAACAGAGUGAGACUCCAUCUCAAAAAAAAAAAAAAAGUUCACGAGUUUAGAAGAGACAGUUGGGUCCUGGCCUCAGGAAACAAAGAAGAAAUCCAGAUCUUAUACAAUGUGCUGGACAUAAAAGUAUAACAAUUUUUGAUUCUCUUCCCCUUCACCAUUGAAAUCUAUGGUUUCUCUAUAUGACUGUUUUCUCAACAAUCCAAAAAGGCAAGGUUGGCAGCAUGCAAUCUGCUGAAGAAUCCUGCCUAAAUACCCUUUUCCACUUCACACUAUC